CCGAAGCCUCGCCCUCGCGCGCUGCCGCGCGAGUUCUCGUGCUUUCGAACACGCCGCUGCACCGAUCGACGCAUCCAACGUGAACGCCGUUAACCGUCUCCUUCCCGGCUGCGGAUCCUGCUUACCACCAGCAUCGCUGUCCUGCAAGACGCCAUCGUUGAUGGUACUCGUCUCACAUUCAGAAGCGGCCAACGACGAGGUGUACUCCAUGCCCAGCAGCUUGGCCAUGGAGGGCGCUCUUCCAGCGUACCCGGACCGUGUGGACGAGGGUGAGGAACGCGCCUGCGACAGCUGCGCAAGAUAUAGGCGGAGCUUCGAGUGCGACCUGCUCACUCACAUGGAUGUCAAGGGCCCCCUGUAUCACUGCAGUACCAAGCAAGCACUAUGCACCGUACAAGGAACCCGGCAACACGCAGUGGUCGUAUCCAGGGGCGCCGGUCGCCUCCUGAUGUACAGGUUGUUUCCACCCAAUGAAGCUGGCAGUACGGUGCUGCUCGCCCGGAACGCGGCAGAACGCCAGGAUGCGCCCGUCGGUUCCCACAGCGUCGAACUUACGGCGAACACCUUCUAGGAAGCGGCCUCUCUCGGCUGUUGCUGCAGAACAACAGCAGGAAGCCGCACAAUCACGACGGCUGUGGUGUUCCAUCGACCACGUGAAGAAUUGACCAGAGGCCGCAAAUAGUUUAACGACGCCCUUUCGCUGUCUCAGUGACAAUGAUGCAGCGAAGCUGCGGCCCCGCGGGCGGCCAGCACAAACUAUCUUCCGCUCUAUUUUUUACGAUUUUUUGAAUGUAAUUGUGUGAAUGUCAUAUGUUACCAUGCGUUUGAAAUACACUUUAUAGUUAUUGAA